rnacentral:rRNA from 1 species
CGCGUAGGCCGUUGAGUUAGUUAAUUGUGAAAUCCCAAAGCUUAACUUUGGAACUGCAAUUAAAACUGCUCGACUAGAGUUUGAUAGAGGAAAGCGGAAUACAUAGUGUAGGGGUGAAAUUCGUAGAUAUUAUGUAGAACACCAGUUGCGAAGGCGGCUUUCUGGAUCAACACUGACGCUGAGGCGCGAAAGUAUGGGUAGCAAAGA